rnacentral:lncRNA from 1 species
AAAGAAAUCUCUAGAGAUAAACACCAUUGUUCAAAUUCAAAAACCAGAUUUUCGAUCAUAUUUGUCGAUGCCCUUCUGUUGCGUUGACUGUGCCGAGACGAGCAUUCAGAUAUAUACACACACUAUGUGAACGAUGAUAACACAUACAGAUGCAGCAAAUAUGAGAGAUUGUAAUGAUGUGUACCUGGUGUGAUGAACAGAAAAUGUUGUGAAUAUCAAAGCAACGAAUCGGUAAUGUUGUCAGGGAUAUGAAACACCGAUUCCUUGUGGUUGAUUGCAGAUUAUCGGCCAAAUCCCAGUGAAGAGUCUAGUCGUGCUGAUAACGUGAUAAGAAACUAAUGUGACUAAUGUGGAAAUUGUAUUGAAUCUUGAAUAUUUGUUCCCA